CCCUCAUUACCACUGACCUUUUACUAACACAGAGUGCUGACCUGAGCUAGGGUUGAAUAAUCCCCUGCCACAGAAAACUGCUGUUGCAAAGCCAAAGAAUAUUUGAGAUACCUGACGUAACAAAAAGAUAACCAGUGGCACAUGUAUUCUUUCCAGGCAUGGUUUAUUGAAAACACACCAAAUUGUUAUCCUACAUACCUGGUUUCUAACAAGCAUUCUACUUGUCUGCAUUAUGGAAAGAUCCUAUAAUAAUAAUAAUAAUACAUUCUGUCACGGUAACAUUUGUUCUAUGAAAAGCAUAAUCCACCUUUUUUUUUCCUCUCCAUACUUGUAAAAUCAAACCAUUCUAAGUGUUUCAGUUUAUAGUACAGUGUAAAUACAAUGCAAAAUCCCACCAGUCUAAACUACAGAGAGAAUGUUGAGCAGUAUUACAGAAAACACAUUGUUGAUUUUUUUUUUUAAUUCUCCUACCAUGAAAAUUUUAAGGCACAUGAUAGUUACAAACACAUUAGCUACUAAUUACCAGUAAGCUUCUUAGUCUAGUUAUUUUGCUUUUCUGAACAGUAAGAACCAGAUUGGCAGGCCUUGUAGUAUCUGCGCUAUCUUCCUCCUCACCUUGGACUUCAGAACAUCCUACCCCUGAUGUAAAACUUAAGACAGGAAAAAAAAAAGUUCAUAAUACCUUCCCCUUAAAUGCACUAGAUUAGUUACUGUACCAAUAAAUCAGUGAAUUUCUGUCAAAGAUAAGGAAACACCAGAAUUUAGGGGAAUCAAAACAAAGAAAUUUUGCAAGAAACUAUGCCUAUAUAAACACCUUCAAAAACUGUGAGAGCACGACUCCACCCCAACAGCACAAAAAUGCUGGCUGAAGUUCUUGGCACACCGUACUUUUCACUGAGUGGGCAGUCGGACAGCAGAAGGGGCUAUAACCACUCUCACGUGCCCAUUUGGCUUCUGAAGCUUUGCUUACUCAAAGGGUUUAACGUGUGCGCCUCUCUCACAGGUAGCUGAGCCUACACACUCAACUUUAAGGCAAGUAACAGAAGGUAACUCACCACCUUCAAUCUCAUGGAACUGCUCUAGGAGUGAAAACUGCUUUGCCUAGCAUAAGCCUUGCAUGCUAGAAAGCAUUACUGAAAAACUACUCCUCAGAGCUGGCAAGAACUUACUAAUCUGCUGUAACAAACAUGCCACCCCCUGCUUUCUUGAUGUGUCACUUAGAGCAAGUCAGUUCCUAGUCCCCAGGUCAGUCCCUUCUGUGAGGCCUUGGCAACAGAGACAAGAUUUGCUUUCCUGAUACAGAUGCGUUCAGAAUCGGCAUGUCCGAGUGCACAGGAGUAGAACUAGGAUAGGCAGGUGUUUUGCCCAGAAGACGCCAAAGAUCAGGACCUGUGGCUGCCCAAGCUGUUCUCUGGGGAGCAUUUCAAGCUGGCAACACAUCUUGAGUUGUCAAGUUACACUUAUGGCUAAAUUGCUACUUAACUCCAAGACAGAAACAAGAUAUCCUGAAGCCUUGCCCUUCCACUCUCCUCCCCGGGUUCUGCAGACAGACCGACUAACCUGGGAAGCUGUAAGCACAAGUACCAUUGCUCACACACUCAACAACCAAACGAUGCCUCUCCAGGGGGGUCUUGACACACAGUGUUUUUUUUAAAACCUCCACAGCUUAGUGAAGAUGCUUGGGAGAUGCGCAAGCCACCUCCCUGGGAAGAAAGUUCUGCAGUAACUACAUGCCACCAGAAGUCUCCCUCUCCCCUGUGUUAUCUCAGCCCUCACUGGGCCAUCAAAUUUCCUCCUUGUCUUUAGCAGGAGCCUUGCAACACCAUCACUUCCUUCCACAACCAUCCCUCCCACUAGAAUUUCUGCAGGUAGAAAUCUCUUCUACCCCAGCCCUUUGCAGGCAGAUUCCCUCCAGUUUUCACAGUGGAGCCAACAGGAAAAGAGGAGGUCACAUACCUGAGCCCUAAAAAGCACUGCCUGCCUUUUAGCAGGAGACUCUAGACCCUACUGCAGCUUUAGUCACACACACUGCCGCUUUCCCUUCUUUACAUACAGUCCCUGCUGCCAAAAUACAAUUACGGGUUCAUCCACCCACAUCCCAGAACAGCUCAAACAGCCAGUCACACUUGCACCAAAAGGGGAGAGGUAAGGGCAGGUGUGGGCACACAUCCCACCAGCGAGCUUGUGGCCAUAGAUAAAAAGGACAUUAAAUCACCAGACCUGGUUCAGAGUAUCCUGCUUUGGGUUUCAGCUGGUGGGCUGAUAAUACAAGGUGAUAGUCUCACAUGCAAGUCACCCCCCAAUCCAUUUUCCUUCCUCAAUAUCCAAACAACAGCUCGGUGAGAAGAAAAAAACCACAGUAAUGUAAAUGAUGGGUUAUUGCUACAUACUUGGGAAUUUGUCGUUAUUGUAAGGCAUGGGAAGGGGAGGUGUUAGACACGUGAUUCCCAGGGGAAGUCUUGGCCCAUGGACUUGGUAUUUGACUUCUUGAUAUACCAUCCUUUGCUCUUCUGCAGCAAUAAACCAUGUUGCCACCUCACAACUAUGCUGGCUGUCAUGAACGCUUACCCCCAGGAAAACAAGAAACAGUUUGCUACAACGACCCUGGGCAGCCAACGCCAUCUAACCCAACAGGGAGGAUUUUUUGGGGAAAGUGGGAUAGGGUCUGAAUUUGCUUCUCAAACACUCCUCGGUGUUUUUAGCCCACUAAUGAUAGAGACCAAAGUAGAUUCCAAUCCAGAUUUUGAGUGUCCCUGUAGCGCCCCACUGAGAGCCUUGGGGUAUCUGGGAUAGGAGGUCAUGGACAUAAUUGGCCCCAUGUCACUUCCCCCCUCCUGCAGUUUUCUCUGUUAACCUCUUGCUGGCUUUGAAAUAUCUGUACAAUAACUAAAUCACAAAGUCUUAGCAGAGACUCCUUUCAACAGUCAGGUCUUUAUUUUAAGUGAACUUCUGCUCAGACUCCUUUGGUAAAUAUAAGAUUUGAAGAAGAUCAGGGACAGACUGACAGCACGGCCCUUUUCUUACACUGUUCUAAUCAGCUACAAAGCAGGUUCCAUUGCUAAUUACUGAACGUUUUUAAAAAAAUCCUUUCAUAUACAAAAAGAAUACACCAAGUACAUAACCAAAAGUGAUAUAAAACUCUUCUGUGUAGCUUGGUUAAAAGGGUCUCCGCAUAUUGGCAGAACAAGUAUGAAAAGAGCACCAUUGAUAGAAUAUACAGUCAGACUAUGUAUCUGGUUUCAUUGCCACACUUUAUGUCUACACAUAGAGAGACACUGCCCUGACACAAAUGCAGAUAAUCACAGAUGUAUCUCUUUGCUUCCCUUGAUCCGCUGAGCAUCUUUGGCCCAAUAGGACUCAUGCAGGUGGAAAAACAAAUCUUCGCUAUCUUAAUUUGCUCCAAGCAACUUCACCUUCCCCAGGAUCCAGAAGUGACCACUGCAAUGUAUGUGGAAGAUGAGGGUCAAAAAGGGAGGGCGCGAAGGAGCACAUGUAUCAUCCAAAUCACUGACAGCUUCUGGCAUCAGUCUUUUUCCCUGAAUCAACAAAUGCUUCCCUCUCCUGCAAACUACUUUACAUGGUUUUGUUAACCUAUCCUCUGCGCAACAAUAUAUAUAUAUAGAUAUAGAGAUUUUUUUUAUUUAUAUAUAUGUAUUCAUGUCAAAUUUUUAAUAUACUCAAGAAGAUACAAA